rnacentral:rRNA from 1 species
ACGGAAGGCAGCAGUGGGGAAUAUUGCACAAUGGGGGAAACCCUGAUGCAGCGACGCCGCGUGAGUGAAGAAGUAUUUCGGUAUGUAAAGCUCUAUCAGCAGGGACGAAAAUGACGGUACCUGACUAAGAAGCCCCGGCUAACUACGUGCCAGCAGCCGCGGUAAUACGUAGGGGGCAAGCGUUAUCCGGAUUUACUGGGUGUAAAGGGAGCGUAGACGGCGAUGCAAGUCUGAUGUGAAAACCCAGGGCUUAACCGUGGGCCUGCAUUGGAAACUGCUUUGCUAGAGUGCAGGAGAGGUAAGUGGAAUUCCUAGUGUAGCGGUGAAAUGCGUAGAUAUUAGGAGGAACACCAGUGGCGAAGGCGGCUUACUGGACUGUAACUGACGUUGAGGCUCGAAAGCGUGGGGAGCAAACAGGAUUAGAUACCCUGGUA